UGUCAUGGCGCUGAAGUGCAUGUCCGCAGCAAAUUGCUGAGAACCGUACCUGAAGAUAUACUUCUGUGAUUUUAAUGGCUGCAGGCUGCUUGGGAAGGACUCUAGGAGACCCUGAAUCACGCAAUGGAGGCAGUGACCUUUGAGGAUGUGGCUGUGAACUUCACUCUGGAGGAGUGGGCUUUGCUGAAUCCAUCCCAAAAGAAGCUCUUCAGAGAUGUGAUGGGGGAAACCUUUAGGAACAUGGCUGCUAUAGG